GACCUUGAGACCUAGGUGUGUAGGAAAAUACGUACAUCACACAUCACUUGCACAGCUUCCACCGUGUUCACUACCUCUCACAGCCACUGCUUCUCACGGUUCACUACCGCUGCUUUAGCAAUGCCGUCAAGCUCCCAGACUGCAGGCACCGGGAAGUUUUCCUUCAGCUGGAGCGUGCAGACCUGGCUAGGAUUGUGGUGCUUGAUGUUGCUGGUGCUGCUAGUGUUGCCAGGGAUGUUGUGGGAAGUGAAAUUACUGCCUGGGUUCCUGCCCUGUCCAUCGUUAUCCAUUAGUGACGGCGAUAAGGCGGCCUCAUCUUAGCCUCAUGUCAUAACAAGCAUCCUUCAUCUCCUUACAUCAACACUACCUCAGCACCGACCGUACAAGAAAUUCGCUGACUUGGGCCUCGUCUUGGUCCUCGCCCUGACCUCCAGGUCCUUUCCUUCCUCAUUGACAAACUCGCUUGCACAACAACAACUUCUUUCCCCCGCUUAGCGGUAACAAAUAUAUAUAUAUAUAUAUAUAUAUAUAUAUAUAUAUAUAUAUAUAUAUAUAUAUAUAUAUAUAUAUAUAUAUAUAUAUAUAUAUAUAUAUAUAUAUAUAUAUAUAUAUAUAUAUAUAUAUAUAUAUAUAUAUAUAUAUAUAUAUAUAUAUAUAUAUAAUGCAAAUUUCUGGAAGUUUUCACUUUCUCACGAUCGAGGUCAACUCAUUCGCGCUGCACAUACGGUUCGAGGAUCCCUACCCUCCCAGUGAGUGGUCCUGGCGGCGAGAUUUCUUCCUUUCAGGGUUCGAGGAUCCCUAGCCUCCCGAUCGGACGUCCCGGCUCUCUUUUUGACCCAUUCGGACCUGCAAGGUGCUGGGGAAGAUGCAUGGGCCUGGACGCCUUGGGAAGGUGCAGCCCGCAGCCAUUGUGCUUUAUAACCUUCAAAUAGAAAGCCUGUCUCCCGUGGUCUAGUGAUCAGCUCUGAGACGUUGUAUUUUGAGUCUGAAUCCUGAUAUGAUUGAUUGUCAACGUUCACUUCUGGAAAUUACUUUUUUUUAUAGUAGUUAACACACGAAAAUAGUUCAACCUACGCGAUUACUAUUGAUCCGAAGUAGUAAGCUUUUUUCCCAGCCUUUUAUUUUGUUUCACUUGGCUAGAACCCAUCUUAUUGGUCCCCACAUAAUGUUCGAUUGAAAAUAUUACGAGGGGACAUAGGUUGUGAUACUGUAACUCAUACACAAGGAAUUUAUGUCACUGUAGUGUGUCACGUACGGUAUACUUGACCAGGUGGUUUCUCGAACCUGCGAGGCGAGAUUCACUUAUUGUUCGUUUAGUUAAUUCACUCGGCUCUUCGAGUCAAUGAACCUCGUUUCAGCCGAAACAUACAUUCUCGCCAAACGUAUGAUUUUUUUUUUUUUUACCUAUUAGUAUUAAUACAUUCCUAUAUAUUUUGACAUGUAUUUUAUGUUUAACGAACAUAUUAAUUAGUGUGUAAGAUAUCACAAAUUACUUCUUUGUACGUUAAUGUGAGAUAUUUGGGUUGUUAUUUCGCCGGGACAACCGAGAUUACAAAUGUAAGUCUGGAAUAGAUGAUGACAGGAACACCAGCCGCCCCCCACUUCAGCUAAGCUCUGUUGUAAACUAAGUUUAAGGUGGCCUUCAGUGUGAGACUGGCUAGCUGAUUUUUGUUGUUCACUUGUAUACAUAUGUGCCACUAUACAGCUAAGUACCUUCCUGUGCCUUAGGUUUGUGACAUGUCCUUUGGUGUAUAUUAAGCUGUAGGGUUAAUUUAGUAUGUGUAAAUUUGCAAAUGUUACGUUUAAUAUAUAUAUAUAUAUAUAUAUAUAUAUAUAUAUAUAUAUAUAUAUAUAUAUAUAUAUAUAUAUAUAUAUAUAUAUAUAUAUAUAUAUAUAUAUAUAUAUAUAUUAUAUAUAAUAUGUUAUUUUUUCUUACUCUAUCAUCCACACUCAUGGUUAUCAAAAAGAAUAAUGCAUUUCUUUUUAUUGUUAUGUGUUUUUGCCACAAAAAUGGCUAUGGAUGAUACAACUAAUAUCACACUUUUUUUUUUUUUUAUGUACAAGAGUCACUGGCCAAGGAAAAAAAAAUAAUAAAUCCCACUUAGGCGCCAGUCCCAAAAGAGACACCAAAAGAAUAAUCGAAAAUUGAAGAAUAAGUGUAUUGAAAUCUCCCUCUUGAAAGAAUUCAAGUCAUAGGAUGGAGGAAACAGAAAGCAGACAGGGAGUUUCCAGUAAAUCCCCGAGUGUAAUUCCUUGCAUACAACCAAGAGGACGAUUGUUUCCCGCAAUGUAUAUGUAUUUAUCAUAGUAUUAGAUAAUAGAUACUUAUGUAACUAUGAGGAUUUGAUGAUGUGUUAAUAUAAUUAAUGUAACUAUUCAUAGUAAGUAGAUACUUACGUAAUUGUGAGGAUUCAGUGAUGUGUGUUAAUAUAAUUACACUUAACGUAACAUAAUGACGUGCAUCAGAUCACGGAGACGAGAGGGCGACUUCCUGUGUUUGUGCUGGUGGUGUUCAUCUGUAUAACCGAUUGAACUCGCUUAAGUGAAGGUAACUCUGUACCGACUCAUAUAUUUCACGGAAUUGACGACAUGAUGAGUCAUGACAUUGAUGUACUGCAAUACCAGUUUUACCUGUUGAUAUACAUUUCUGUAUUGUUCUCUGUAUUAGUGAUGAUAUGUUAUUUCGCAGGUCUGACCACUUUUGAAUACAAAGAGCGAGUAUUA